AGAAGAACGUUGCUGUGUCAUCUAUGAGGAGGCACCAAUGAGCCUUAAUACAGAGGCCAUGUGGACAUGUUAUGUCACAUUCUGUCUUGAGAGAUAAAAGAGGAAAACAAACGUCACUGAACUCAAGGAAAAGAGAAAGGAGCGAUUACUCGAGUCUUACAGAGUGCUCAUGAUGCCAGGAUUUUGCAAGAGACAUUAUACAAGAACUGGCUACAGCUCCUGUUGUCGUUAGAGAUACAGUAUCUGCUACACAGAUUGCCGUCACAGCCAACCAGCGCUUCAGCCAAUCAGUGGAGAUGUGGAGCUUCAGCCUCCGGACAUUGGUCCAUCUGGAGAGCACAGAGGCGGGACAUCUAUUCCAGUAAGCCCUGAAACAUGUGAAUCCCCAGGUAGCAGUUGUGCUACAGCUGCCUCUUAAGUGGGACAUCUUCUAACCGCAGAUUUGCCCUAAUUUGUCCACUUGAACAAAUUAACUUCUUCUGAAUGCUUUUCUUUAAAAAGAUAUUUUGACUUGCAUUGCUUUUAAGACAUAAAGUUUUAUCAGUUAAUGCAUUCCCUGGGAAUUGAUCUCCUGACCUUGGUGUUGCUAGCACCAUGCUCUAAUGCUUGAGCCACAAGAAUGCCUACAUAUAACUGUAAUUAACCUUCUGCUCGAUUCUGACCUCAGCGCUCUUUGUUAACCAGCUAGUGAGAAAAGCCAUGCGUGCAGGAUUAUGAAGCCUGUAGUUAUAUAACCUGGCAAAGAGGCCGUUAUCCAACCACAUGGGAACAUGAUGCUAUAUAUCCGAUAUUCACAUGCAUAAUUGUCCCGUUUCAUUUCUCGGUCCUUCAUACCUUUUGUGUUUGUUUUGUUCAAACAAUAUGGUUCUGUCAGUUUCUUUUGUAAUUAGAUAUUAAGUGAGAAAAGUAAAAGAACUCAUUACUCUUAUGAAAUGUAAAAUAAUAUGAUGAGGUCCAACUCCUUUUAGCAGUAGUGCAAAUGCUGUUAUUUUCAUGAAUCAGCAUGACAAUUGUACAUGAAUUUUAGGAUUUUUUUUGACACAGUGUAAAGCAUAAAUGUUCAAAUGUUGUGCAAAAGCUGAAGAUCCAAUUUGAGAAUGUUCCAAAGAACAUCUUUUGUACUUCACUGAAAGGAAGGAAAUUGACUUGAAUUGUACAAAUGAAUUUCAAGAGUCAAA